UCCUCCAGGUCUCUUUGUCUCUUUGUUCUUUGGCUGCCAUGAGGCAAGAAGCUUUGAUCUACUAUGUACUUACUGCAAGAGACAGCAGAGCCAUGAACCAUGGAGUGAGAUCUAUGAAACAGUGAGCCAAGGUUCUGGGAGGCUGAAAUCUAGGAUGGACUGUGAAUCCAGAGGCGGCGGGAAGGCCUGCAGAGCCUAAGUGCUUCCUGAAACCCUGAGACGAAGUGUAGGGGACAUCUGAGCAGACCUCCAGCCACACACAGCUCUGAAACUGUUCAUUCAGUCCCAAGGGUAACAAUUCACUGAACUCAGAGGUGCAUAGAAGGAGGCACUCCACAAUCAGAAACAAGAGCAAGCUCUGAAGAUUGGGGUUUUGGUUUUCUCUUGGGCCUCUACAUACGAACUCUACAAUUGGGGGCUUUUCAUAACAUCUGCACAGGAGACCUUAUGCCACCGAGCGCUCCUAGUGAUGACUAAUGCACCCCCACCCAGAGGGGGUGGUGUUCAGUCGCCUUUCAUCUGCUUUCUUGGAAAGUUGGGAUCCUCGCCAGAUCUUUAAAAUCAGCAGAAAGAGGCCACCCCAGCCUGAAAGCUUGUUUUAUGCCCGACCACACACCGAGCACCUCGGCAAGCAUUACUCAACACGAGAUAUUUACCUGAGUAUUACUCGCUACACAGGAAGUUAGAACUGGCAAGCUAAAUGUAUGAUGGAAGGGAGAGAAUGAGGAUUCCUGGAUUAGAGAAAGUUCCAGAAAAUGUAUUUGAGAAACACAACAAGCAAAAGAAGCCAGGGCUUGGGGCCUGAUUUGAUGGCAAAGACUACAGACAAUUAAAUAUUACUUAGAUGCUACUAUUAUUUAGUAUGUAACAUAGUAAAAAUGCCUAGCAAAAAUACAUACUAUUACUAACUCUGGCUUGUUAUUAGUAUAAAAUUACUACUAAAUAAAACACUUUUCAUAUAUAGCCAUACCCAAUGGCUUCAUUACUAAAGUAUACAUUAGCACUAAAUAUAUAUAUAUACAUAUGAAUAUAUAUAUAAAACAGUAUAACUGUACCGACAUGAUUGUUUACAAUACUUCAAAAAUGGGCAUCAAAAGAAAAAAGUAUUUUCCAACAAGCCUCAUAAAACUGUUCCAAACAAAUAAACUGGGCUGAGACUUCAGGAGAGAGAAAUAAGACUCAGGUAUUAGAAAAUGUCUGAUGGAAAGUGUGCGAAUUCUGAAUACAGAGACAUCACUAAACUUCAAUGUUAAUGGCUGGGUUGUGCCCUAUUUGACAGAAAUCUGGACAAGUUAUGCCACUGCACUUUUGUUUCCUCAUCCUAAAAUUACAGAAA